GAUGAACGCUGGCGGCGUGCCUAAUACAUGCAAGUCGAGCGAACGGAUUAAGAGCUUGCUCUUAUGAAGUUAGCGGCGGACGGGCGAGUAACACGUGGGUAACCUGCCCAUAAGACUGGGAUAACUCCGGGAAACCGGGGCUAAUACCGGAUAACAUUUUGAACCGCACGGUUCGAAAUUGAAAGGCGGCUUCGGCUGUCACUUAUGGAUGGACCCGCGUCGCAUUAGCUAGUUGGUGAGGUAACGGCUCACCAAGGCAACGAUGCGUAGCCGACCUGAGAGGGGGAUCGGCCACACUGGGACUGAGACACGGCCCAGACUCCUACGGGAGGCAGCAGUAGGGAAUCUUCCGCAAUGGACGAAAGUCUGACGGAGCAACCCCGCGUGAGUGAUGAAGGCUUUCGGGUCGUAAAACUCUGUUGUUAGGGAAGAACAAGUGCUAGUUGAAUAAGCUGACACCUUGACGGUACCUAACCAGAAAGCCACGGCUAACUACGUGCCAGCCGCCGCAGUAA
rnacentral:rRNA from 1 species